CGUGUAGGCGGCUCGAUAAGUCUGCUGUGAAAGUCCAGGGCUCAACCCUGGAAGGCCGGUGGAAACUGUCGGGCUAGAGUCCGGAAGAGGCGAGUGGAAUUCCCGGUGUAGCGGUGAAAUGCGCAGAUAUCGGGAGGAACACCAAUGGCGAAGGCAGCUCGCUGGGACGGUACUGACGCUGAGACGCGAAAGCGUGGGAGCAAACA
rnacentral:rRNA from 1 species